CUUCACGAAACUACACUGUUACAAUAAAAUAAAACUAUAUACAUGCAUAUCAGAAAAGGGUGAAGAAGGGAAACCUGCGGAAUGAAAAGUUGAUGAAGGAUUCAGAAAUUGAAGUAGUGAGCGCAACAGGUUUGAAUUCAAGCUCUAGGGACUUUUUCACUGCAUCAACUACAAGUUGAGUCUUCCUAGUAAUUUCAGGCCACUUGGUUGAGGGGAGAGACCCACCAUCUCUAAUGCUUGCAACAAUCCUGGCAAGCUCUUGCACCAUUAAAGCUUCUUGUGGGAGUU